rnacentral:tRNA from 1 species
UUUGAAAAAGCGAAUUAUUGCGUUUUCUUUCGGCGAAAAUGAGAUUAUUUUCUCUUUCAAAG